UACGAAGGGGGCUAGCGUUGCUCGGAAUUAUUGGGCGUAAAGCGCACGUAGGCGGCUUUUCAAGUCGGAUGUGAAAUCCCUCGGCUUAACCAAGGAAGUGCAUCCGAAACUGGAAGGCUUGAGUACUUAAGAGGAUCGCGGAAUUCCCGGUGUAGAGGUGAAAUUCGUAGAUAUCGGGAGGAACACCAGUGGCGAAGGCGGCGAUCUGGGAAGAUACUGACGCUGAGGUGCGAAAGCGUGGGGAGCAAACAGG
rnacentral:rRNA from 1 species